rnacentral:rRNA from 1 species
AACGCGAAGAACCUUACCUGGGUUUGACAUACACCGGAAAGCCGUGGAGACACGGCCCCCGCAAGGUCGGUGUACAGGUGGUGCAUGGCUGUCGUCAGCUCGUGUCGUGAGAUGUUGGGUUAAGUCCCGCAACGAGCGCAACCCUUGUCCCAUGUUGCCAGCGGGUUAUGCCGGGGACUCAUGGGAGACUGCCGGGGUCAACUCGGAGGAAGGUGGGGACGACGUCAAGUCAUCAUGCCCCUUAUGUCCAGGGCUUCACACAUGCUACAAUGGCCGGUACAGAGGGCUGCGAAGCCGCGAGGUGGAGCGAAUCCCACAAAGCCGGUCUCAGUUCGGAUCGGGGUCUGCAACUCGACCCCGUGAAGUCGGAGUCGCUAGUAAUCGCAGAUCAGCAACGCUGCGGUGAAUACGUUCCCGGGCCUUGUACACACCGAUAGC